rnacentral:rRNA from 1 species
UGGCUCAGAUUGAACGCUGGCGGCAGGCCUAACACAUGCAAGUCGAGCGGAUGACGGGAGCUUGCUCCUUGAUUCAGCGGCGGACGGGUGAGUAAUGCCUAGGAAUCUGCCUGGUAGUGGGGGACAACGUUUCGAAAGGAACGCUAAUACCGCAUACGUCCUACGGGAGAAAGCAGGGGACCUUCGGGCCUUGCGCUAUCAGAUGAGCCUAGGUCGGAUUAGCUAGUAGGUGAGGUAAUGGCUCACCUAGGCGACGAUCCGUAACUGGUCUGAGAGGAUGAUCAGUCACACUGGAACUGAGACACGGUCCAGACUCCUACGGGAGGCAGCAGUGGGGAAUAUUGGACAAUGGGCGAAAGCCUGAUCCAGCCAUGCCGCGUGUGUGAAGAAGGUCUUCGGAUUGUAAAGCACUUUAAGUUGGGAGGAAGGGCAGUAAGCUAAUACCUUGCUGUUUUGACGUUACCGACAGAAUAAGCACCGGCUAACUCUGUGCCAGCAGCCGCGGUAAUACAGAGGGUGCAAGCGUUAAUCGGAAUUACUGGGCGUAAAGCGCGCGUAGGUGGUUCGUUAAGUUGGAUGUGAAAGCCCCGGGCUCAACCUGGGAACUGCAUCCAAAACUGGCGAGCUAGAGUAUGGUAGAGGGUGGUGGAAUUUCCUGUGUAGCGGUGAAAUGCGUAGAUAUAGGAAGGAACACCAGUGGCGAAGGCGACCACCUGGACUGAUACUGACACUGAGGUGCGAAAGCGUGGGGAGCAAGCAGGAUUAGAUACCCUGGUAGUCCACGCCGUAAACGAUGUCGACUAGCCGUUGGAAUCCUUGAGAUUUUAGUGGCGCAGCUAACGCAUUAAGUGAUCGC